UCCCUCCCCGCCUCCAGCCGCCCAUGAUUUCCCCGGCGGGCGAAGCCGGGCCGUGGGGAGACGACGCCAGGAUCUUCAGCGCGGGGCUUGAGUCCCUAUGGUCGCUCCUAUUCGGCACCCCGGAGGAGAUGGAGCCCAUGUGGUUGCCGCCCAGGGGACUCGACGUUGGCGCCGAGUCCGCCUCCGCGGUGACGGGGGCCAAAGGGGCUCGUCGCCGGCGACGAUCUAGGCGCCAUCCCCACCCACUGCGGCGCCGGCCUUGGCGGAGUUCGACCCCGCCGCGCCCCAUUCCUCGGGAGGCGCCCCAGAGGUACACCUCCAGAUUAUUGGCGUCAAGGUCAACGUUGCGCAAGAACAGAACAGUAAGCAGAUUGGUCCAUGAUUAGCGGGGUAUAGAGUAGAGAAACACGUAAUGUAAUGCUCAAGACAAACCGGCCAACCAGGGCAGCCAGCCACCCUGGCUUAGGUUGACUCGUUGCUGGGCCAACUAGCCGUUCAUCACACCGUACCAGGGCGGUGACCAACUGCGGCCGCGGUAGCGGAGAUCAACAGCGGCAAUAGUGGUGGUGUGGCGGAGGCAGUUUUGUGACGCGGACUGGUUACUCGGUUGCCCGGCACCGGCAGUGGAUCUGGAUUCCGGCGGCAUGGCGGGUCUUUACUGACCUUGUACGAGGAGUCCCCUGGCUUUUGAUGGCUUGAGCUGGCCAUCUUCUGUCAGCACGAGGUGCUUCGGUCAUAUCUUGCUGUGUGAACUAUGCGUGAUUUAUGAUGUUGUUGCUGUUGAAUAUCUGUCCAACUAUCUUAACUGAUGUGUUGUCGUUGGCCAUAUCUUGCUGCUGAUUCUGGGCUAUUGAUCAUGUGUUGUUGUUGGUCUUAAA